UGGGGAAUAUUAGGCAAUGGGGGAAACCCUGACCUAGCAACGCCGCGUGAAGGAUGAAGGUUUUCGGAUUGUAAACUUCUUUUUUCAGGGAAGAUAAUGACGGUACCUGAAGAAUAAGCCACGGCUAACUACGUGCCAGCAGCCGCGGUAAUACGUAGGUGGCAAGCGUUGUCCGGAUUUACUGGGUGUAAAGGGCGAGUAGGCGGGACUGUAAGUCAGGCGUGAAAUGUAAGGGCUUAACCCUUGAACUGCGUUUGAAACUAUAGUUCUUGAGUGAUGGAGAGGCAGGCGGAAUUCCCGGUGUAGCGGUGAAAUGCAUAGAGAUCGGGAGGAACACCAGUGGCGAAGGCGGCCUGCUGGACAUUAACUGACGCUGAGGCGCGAAAGUGUGGGGAGCAAACA
rnacentral:rRNA from 1 species